CAUUUAUUAAUCUCAACUGAUAUACUUGAGACUAAUAAAUGUGGAAUUGUAAGCAUAAAGAUUGAAAAAUAUUAUAUAAAAUUUUAUCAAAGGUUGUUUAAGAGGAACAAACCCUUACUCGAUGACACACUUCUUCGGAAAAGAGUGAAUUUCUAGGAAUUGUCAGACUCGUUUACUACAAAAAUAUAUUUAUUGUAUUAGAAUAUAUUUGUCAUUGUUUCCAAUGAUAAGGCUUAAAAAUAUAUAAGAAGGAUUCAGGCUGAAAAGUAUUGUGUAAAGCAUAAAAUUCAGGUGUAAGUACUAAGAAAUUUUGAAGACUUACAAACAGGCAAGGAUCAAAUACUUCUUGUUACGUAAAUCAUGUUUUAUUUGUAGAACAUUGUGAAGCAUUCAUAACAAAAUCUGAGAUUCACCUGGUUUCAGUUUCAAGUAAAUGUGAAACUCAGACUGGUUCAGCAAAAGUUUUGCCAAGGUUCAUAAACUUUCAUCAAUGUGGGCUGAUUUUUUUGGAAGGGGGUGGGAAGUAGGACUAUCCAAUAAUUUUUACCAUGUUUGGACUAGAUUUCUUUGCAAAUGAAAACAUGCAGAUGAAAGCCAAAGGAGGUAAAAUGCAGACAAUCUUAUGCUUACUUUUUAUAAAUACGAUCUGGUGCAAAUUUUCUUUACACUUUUAAGAAAAGUUUUAUGUCCUUUUUGGCAGGCCAAAAAAAAAAAUCUUAGUUUGAUCUUCUUUUCUACAUAGAAAACUUACAACAGAAAAUUACCUGUGAUGCCACUUUUCAUGAAAAACCAAUAGAAGUGAACGACUGAUUGUUGUGGACCAAGAAGUAUAGGUAAGAAAAUACCUCGCUUUCUUUAUAGCUUUCUCAGACUACUGCUAUUAUUAUUCUACCUCUAAGGCCAGCCUCCCAGUAGUGUUCUCAUCUAUCAGAACUUUUUUAACCAAUUAACCUUUCUAUUUAGCAGGAAAAAAAUAUAUGAAACAUUUAAACAGAUACGACUUUAAAAGAUAUUGUAUAAAUUUAAUAUAGCUUAUUUGUCAUGAAGUCCAUAAAACACUCUUCAACCUUUAUAUGUUUAUAAUAUAAAAUCAAUGUGAAAGAACAAGUAUUUUAUUAGAAAGGUAACAAUAAAACCAAAUUAUAAAAAGAAGACACUAAAUAACUAUCUAGUACUAAGUAUUUGGCUAGGCUAAUUUCCUGCAGAAAAUGAAUAUCUACUAUGUGUACCUACCUCAACCCCAUCCACUCAGCAAUAUCUGUGAAUUGACUGGGAAGACAUAUUAAACUGCGCUGCAGAAUAUGUAAGAAGCAGAGUCAAAGUAUUAGUUUGUUCAGAGUUAAACAUACAUAUAAAAGGACAGGGUUCAUUUAGCAUUAACUGUGAAUCUCUGAGAGUAUCUAAUUUAUUGUUUUUAUUAAUAAAUAUCAUGUCCAGUAUGAGGGUUAGGGGCAAGAGAGAAGGAAUUUAAAUACUUAGAACAUUUUAGAGAACGUUCCAAGAGAAACCAAAUACCUCAGACUAUUUAGAGACAGAAGUAUUUUGCAGUGAAUGUGCUAUGAAAGAAUUUAUUAAAGUAAUUACCUUUACUAUUCACUGAUUUCCAUAGCAACGGCACAAAUUUUGAUUUCCUUGAAUUGAUAUUUAAGACUGUUUUGAGGAGUAAAUUAUUUCUCUGGUUUACUCAUUCCUUUAAUGCCCUCACCAACCUUCACCCACUAUAGUGGAAAAAAAAAUAGGACCACAAACUUGGUAAAGUUGGCUACAAAUAACUGAUUUUUCCUUAGUACUAUUCUAUGACCUGUGUUAAUUUGUUUUCAAACCAAAAAACAGUGUUCUAUGGAAGAUUUCAGAUAAUUUCUACAAACUCAAGUUCAUGGUUUUACAUAUAGAUAUGAUAUGUGAUAAGGUAAACACAGAAGUCAUAGAGGAAAUUCAAGUGAUUUCAGAUGCUCCUCAUAGGCAUGCUUCCCCCAGUCUCAUCAUGCACACUUGAAGCCACCCUUUUCCAGAUCAACUGCCUGUGAAAGAUUUUCAGAACUCUGAGCCAUUACUAAAUGGCCAUGGAAAGAAAUUAAGCAAAGAAAAAUUGGACAGACUUUCAGGAAAAGUUUCCUAAUUGUGAAAACUAUUAAAAUGUGGAAUAAAUAUCCUCUGAGGGAGAGGAUAGAUGCCCAUCUCUGAGGCUUUAAAAACAGGAUUUGACCAACACUUUGGGAAGAGAAAUGAGGGCAAUAUUCAUUACUUGGCAAGGAAGUGAGCUGGAUGACAUAAUGGUCUUUUCCCUCUUUCAUGCUAAUGCCUCUUUAAUGUUUCCAUUUAAGUAGUAACUUAGUUUCAAAAGCGGACAUUUUAAUGUGGGAAGAGUACUCAGGUUUCAAUGAAAACCUCACCAGAAAAAAUCAGGAAUGAAGGCCACCAUUGACCCUGUACGUGGAUUACUUUUGUAUUUGACCACGUAAGACAAUUGGAUGGGCACCUAAUAUAUUUCCUGGUACACUCCUAUUGUGGUUGGUCUUCUUUAUCUGUAUGUCUAUCUUGUUCAGUCUGCGCUUCAGCUUUGCAGGAAAAUAGAAAUUUUUUUUUCUGUGCUUGUUUAUGCUAACCAUGGUGCCUACAACUGCAUCUGCUGCCUUUACACGGGACUGCAAACCUGUUUUUUUCAACCUUCUGUUUUAUGGGUGUGCACACCCAUAAAUCUCCUGUGGCUGGGUUAAGGGAACAUACAAGCAGCUCUUCAGCAUUAAGAAUGUGAUGGGAGAGAUUCAGGUAGAUUUGAACUGCCAUCAUCAAUCAAGACCAAGGAGAAGGCUGCUUUCCAGGAUGUACACAUGGCCUCUGUUUGCUGUUGCUGUUUUGCUUCUUUUAAGAGGUGAACCAAUAUAUGUAUGUCUGUUUCUACUGUCACUUGCAGCUCAACAGAACCCUGUAAUAUACAUGAACAAGUUUCUGGAAGUUAAGAGCAGGAAAUUCCACUGAAACAAAAUAGAACAUACCUUUAUGUUCUAUUGAGAGAGUGUGGAAGAAGAAAAUUCUGUAUUGGUUUUGACUAACAACAAGCUGCCGGAAGAUCUCUUUUUCUCCUACAGGUUAAUAAGGAGAAAAUUGAAAUUAGAAGCAUAAAGCAUUUUGUCAAGAUAUAACUAUGAAGAUAUUUUCAUUACUAAAUAUACAAAUAGGCCAGUUGCAGUGGCUCACACCUGUAAUCCCGGCAUUUUGGGGGACCGAGGCAGGCAGAUCGCCUGAAGUCAGGAGUUCGAGACCAGCCUGGCCAUCAUGGAGAAACUCCAUCUCUACUAAAAAUACAAAAUUAGCCGUGUGUAGUGACACAUGCCUGUAAUCCCAGCUACUUGGGAGGCUGAGGCAGGAGAAUCGCUUGAACUCAGGAGGCAGAGGUUGCUGUCAGCCAAUAUUGCACCACUGCACUCCAACCUGGGCAAUAAGAGCAAAACUCCAUCUCAAAAAAUAAGUAAAUAAAUAAAUAAUAAUAUAUAUACAUUUUCAUACACAUAUACUUGUCUAAAUAUGGCAUAUAAAUCUAAAUAAAUAAAUGGAUAUAUCCAUCUCCUUGUGUAUAAUUCAUAUUUAUAUUAAUAUAUACUCAUUCUCUUAUGUAAGCCCUUCCCCUUGAUUAUUGGUGUGACCUGUGACUUACUUCUGUCCAACAAAAUGCAGUAAAGAUGAUGGGAUAUAUGCAAUUACAUGCACAUGAUUAUAUGACUGUUGUAAAAGAUUGUAGCACUUGUCAUGCUGGAGUCUUUCUUUCCCUUACUGACUUUGAGGAAGAAACACUUUGCAUAGCAAGGAACUAUGGGUGGCCUCCAAGAGUGGUUUCCAGCAGUCAGCAAGAAAUUGAAAUCCUCAGUUUAACAACCAAAAGGAAAUGAAUUCUGCCAUCAACUUGCAUGAAUUGUGAAACAAAUUCUUCCCCAGUAAAACCUCAGAUGAGAUCACAACCCAGCUGACAUGUUGGUUGCAAUAAAUACAUUGCAAUCAAUGAUUUGGAUUGCAGCAUAAAACUAAGGUGUAUCUAGUCUCCUGACACAUAGAAACUGUGAGAUAGUAAAUGUACAUGGUUUUAAGCUGCUAAUUUUUUGGUAAUAUUGUUAUGCAGCAGUAGAUAACUCAUACAAAUUUUAGUACAUGGAAGUCUGAUGCUGCUAUAACAAACACCGAAAAAUUUUGGGAGUUGUUUUCGAACCAGGCACUGGAUGCAGGCUGAAAUAAAUUUUUGAAGAACAUGAUAGAGAAAACUUAAAUGUCCUCAAACACACCGUUAGUAGAAAUACAUGGAAAGAGUGCUGUCAGUGAGGGCAGUUCAAAUAUUUUAAGUGUCUUGUGAUAUGUCCUUUGACCAUGGAUUAUUUAGAAGUAUUUAGAUUAUUUAGAAGUAUUUCUAAAAACUUGGAAAUUAUUCAUUUUUUGCUUAUUUAUUUUUAAUUUAUUACUUUUUGGUCACAAACAUCCUCUGUAUGAUUCAUGUUGUUUGAAAGACAUUUUUCUAUUCCUACCACCUGAGAUUACAACUUGAUAUUUGUCCUCUUCUGGCUUAUAUUGCUAUGUACUUAAGUUCAUUGUUCUUUUAUUCUGCCUUGUUUAAUUUGAUGUCAGUUUCAUCCAGUUAGUUUUUCAUUUUGAUAUUGUAAUUUUUUUAGUUUAGGAAGUUCCAUUGAUUUUUUUCCCUAUCUUCCUUUUCUAUUCUUCUAAUUUUCUUGUUUAAAUUCUUAAGCACUUUCGUAAUAGUUGUUUUAUUCCCCCUUUCUGCUAAUCUUAUCAUUUCUGUCAUUUCUUGAUCUCUUUCUGUUAAUUGAUUUUUAUCUUGAUUACAGGCCACCUUUUUUCUAUUUCUUCUUUCGUAUAGUAAUCAUUGAUUGAAUGGCUGAUAUUUUACCAUAUUGAUUGAAUUUUACUCUCUUCCUUAUUCCGUUUCCAGGGGUAGUUAAGUAACUUAUAAAUAUUAUUGAUCUAAUCAAGGUUUAAUUUUAGGCCUUCCAAGGGCAGAACUAGAUUAAUCUUUGAAGUAGGUCUAAGUUAACACUGCUACCAAGAUUUGAAUUUUCUGGGGUCUCUGAGGCAUUGGAAUCUUUCCACUGUGUCUGCUCUGAAGUCAAAUAUCUCCCAGCCAUGCAUUUAUUCUAGGAAUUGUUUAUGUUCAUCUGCUUCACAGUUCAGCAUUGUAGAAUCACAUUCUGUGUAUUUAUUUGCAUUAAUAUGUUCAGCAACAGACAUGAGGAGACCCCUAUUCAGGUUUUCUACCCUCCUGCCUGACACUCUCUCUCAUAACUUUCACCUUCUCAUACAACAUUCUUUGUCUUCCCAACAGAAUAAGAUGAUUUAGGUUAUACUGCUCUACUUAAGUUUCAUCUCUUUGUGCCAUGGUCCAUUUAGUGUCUUCAGGCACAAAGCUGAGGUGAUUAUGGGUAUCAUCCUUUUUGUUUUUCUUCUCACAGAUAUCACAAUUCUGUGCAGCUCAUUUUUUCAAUAUUCAAAAUUGAUUUCCCCCACUUUUCUAGUUGUUUCAGCAGUAUGUCAAGUUCGCUAACACUCAUUUCAAAAUUGUAUGGCCGGAAGUGGAAAUUCCUCAUUCUUUAUAUAUUGACAUAUUUACUCUUCAAACUGAGUGGUUAACUAUCUUGCCAAAUGUCACUGUGCAAGGAUUUGAACAUAGUAUGCCAGAUUCAGAAUCUAUGCAAUUAACCAUUAUAGCAAAGUGUGUACAAUAAAUUAUAAAUGGUGCUUUGUAGCCUAAGUAGAAAACACAAUGAAGGGAGUGGCAGGAGAUGAGGUUGGAGAGUUAUGUAGGAGCAGCCACAUUAAAGACAGUACUGCGGGCAGUGUUAAAGAGUUUGGUCUGCUUCCUAUAGGCCACCAAAAGCUACAGGAUAAUUUGCAGGAAAGAGCAACUUUGUCAGACUUUUUCUUUAGGUAUUAUUCUGGGAGUGGUGUAAUGGAUGGAUUUGGAAACAGACCAGAGAUAGGAAUGCGAUUCAUUCUGCGUAUGAAAUGAUGUGCACAAUACAUGUAGUCACUGAAUUUUUAAAAACUAAUUGCUAAGUUUCAAAGCUUUCUUUGAUAAGCAUGUUUAAAAUUUUCAUAUAAGAACAGCUAUUUUAAAAGUUAAAUAAAUAUCUAGAAGCCAAUGACGUUAUGAUUAAUACAUUCAAUUACUUUGUCAUGAAAUUAAAGUUGAAUCUCUGAGUCCA